UGCCAGCAGCCGCGGUAAUACGGAGGGUGCGAGCGUUGUCCGGAAUCACUGGGCGUAAAGGGCGCGUAGGUGGCUUCUCAAGCGCGCGGUGAAAGCCCGGGGCUCAACCCCGGGUCGGCCGUGCGGACUGGGAGGCUCGAGCACUGUAGGGGCGGGUGGAAUUCCGGGUGUAGCGGUGGAAUGCGUAGAGAUCCGGAAGAACACCGGUGGCGAAGGCGGCCCGCUGGGCAGGAAGGCUCGCAAGAGCCGGCUGACACUGAGGCGCGACAGCGUGGGGAGCAAACAGGAUUAGAUACCCUGGUAGUCCACGCCGUAAACGAUGGGCACUAGGUGCCUGGGGGAGCGACCCCCCGGGUGCCGGCGCUAACGCAUUAAGUGCCCCGCCUGGGGAGUACGGCCGCAAGGCUGAAACUCAAAGGAAUUGAUCGGGGGCCCGCACAAG
rnacentral:rRNA from 1 species